UAUUUUUUUAAACAAUUUUGGCAUUUAAAUUAAUCCAAGAAAGUCACUAAAAUUGCCAAAAUAAAUAGCUAUAACUAUUUUAAUUGUUAUAAAAAGUUGAGUUAUUUUGUGGAGCAUGGAAAUAUUCCAAAUAAACCCCCACAAAUAUAUUCAAUAUUUUAGGAAAUAUUUUGGAGCCAAAAAUGAAUAAAACAAAUGUUGGAAUUGCAAAACAGAAAAAAA
rnacentral:lncRNA from 1 species